GCCUCCAAAUUGAACUGCAUGCAGCAGCUUUUUCUUUCCUUCCUCCCCGCAGUCUCAGACUCCCUCCAUUCCUGUACCAAAAUGGAAAAACCCCAAGACCACAACGACCAGGAGCCUUCAAAAUCCCCCACAACUCCAGCAUCACCUACAUGCGCCUCCUCAACCAGCGUUAAAUGCGCCGGCUCAACCUCCUUCCAUCCACCACCCACGCAAUCCCCUUGGUCAGAAAUUUCCCCUCCUCCAACCUACCGCCCUAUCCGUUCUCCGGCUAUAAAUCCGCCACCAAACACAAAUUCCCAAGCCAUAAUCCUCGCUCCAGUCCCGCAAUCCCAAAAGGUGCUCACCAUUUCCCUUCCUCACACCUUCCAAUCCCCCUCCAAAAAAAUCCACUCCCCUGACGACAUUCGCCAAUUCAUCAACUCCGAUUCCUCUAAGAACUUCCUUGGCUUCAUCGUCUCUCUCUCAGAAUCUAUACGGUCCCAUAAAACCUCCGAUUCCUUUCACGAAUCCACAACUCUGAAAAAGAUUGUGUCUAUUAUCGAAACCCUAAUUCAGUGGACUGAAGAAAUCCCUCCGGCUCAACAAUCUUCUCGAUACGGUAACAUCUCUUACCGCACCUGGCAUAACCGUUUGGUAGAAAAUAGCGAGAGUUUAAUGCUUCAGAUUUUGCCCGAACUUUUAAAAUCUUCAAUGGUGGAGAUCGUUCCUUAUUUUACCGAUAGUUUUGGUAAUUCGAGCCGGAUUGAUUACGGUACUGGACAUGAAACUAAUUUCGCCGCAUGGUUGUAUUGUUUGGCUAGGAUGGGGGUUAUAGAGGAAGUUGAUUAUCAAGCUCUAGUUUCUAGAGUUUUUGUUAAUUAUAUUGAAUUAAUGAGGAAGUUGCAAUUGGUUUAUAAUCUGGAGCCUGCGGGUUCGCACGGUGUUUGGGGGCUUGAUGAUUAUCAUUUCUUGCCGUUUAUAUUUGGAUCAUCACAGUUGAUUAAUCAUAAGUUUAUGAAGCCCAAGUCUAUUCAUAACGAGGAUAUUUUGGAGAACUUUUCGAAUGAGUAUAUGUAUCUUUCAUGCAUUGUGUUCAUUAAGAAGGUGAAGAAAGGGUUGUUUGCUGAGCACUCGCCUUUGUUGGAUGAUAUCAGCGGAGUGCCUAAUUGGAACAAGGUGAAUAGCGGGUUGCUUAAGAUGUAUAGAGCAGAAGUGUUGGAGAAAGUGCCUAUUAUGCAGCAUUUCCUGUUUGGGUCGCUUAUUCAGUGGUCAUUGCACUGCCAACUGUGACCUGGAAAGUAUUUAUGUAGUCUUUAAUUGCCUCGCUUAGUAGAGAAAUUUUGAAUGGGAGUAGUGCGUUUAUCAGCUCUAUAAGAACGUAUGAUAUGGAACCAAGAGGGUGGAUUCUCCACGGGGUUUCAUUGUGAUUCGCUACAGUAGACAGUUUAACAGGGUGGAAAUAUGAUACUACUGUGAACUCAUUAAGCUAUUCCUCUCUUUGUUUUUCUUUUCUUCCUAAAAUGACCAUGCAGAUGAUGCAUUGUCAGAUAAUUAUCUACCCGUUUGUUUUACUACAUAUGUGAUGGUGGUGCAAAUAGUUGUCUGUCGAAUGGUUGAGGGAUGAAAGUCCAGUUUCUAUCUAUAAGUGUUGAGCAAAUGGCAUGCGAGGAUUAAUAUGUUUCCUCCAUUGUUUGAUCGGGCUGAUGUGGCAGUCAUGAUGUAGUGCUAUACCAAAUGUCGAGCUUGAAUUUUCAAAGCCAUUAUACGAAAACGAUCAAUUUAAAUGAGGGACUGUUUGUAAA